GAUGAACGCUAGCUACAGGCUUAACACAUGCAAGUCGAGGGGGAACGACAUCGAAAGCUUGCUUUUGAUGGGCGUCGACCGGCGCACGGGUGAGUAACGCGUAUCCAACCUGCCCACCACUUGGGGAUAACCUUGCGAAAGUAAGACUAAUACCCAAUGAUAUCUCUAGAAGACAUCUGAAAGAGAUUAAAGAUUUAUCGGUGAUGGAUGGGGAUGCGUCUGAUCAGCUUGUUGGCGGGGUAACGGCCCACCAAGGCGACGAUCAGUAGGGGUUCUGAGAGGAAGGUCCCCCACAGUGGAACUGAGCCACGGUCCAAACUCCUACGGGAGGCAGCAGUGAGGAAUAUUGGUCAAUGGGCGAGAGCCUGAACCAGCCAAGUAGCGUGCAGGAUGACGGCCCUAUGGGUUGUAAACUGCUUUUAUAAGGGAAUAAAGUGAGUCUCGUGAGACUUUUUGCAUGUACCUUAUGAAUAAGGACCGGCUAAUUCCGUGCCAGCAGCCGCCGUAA
rnacentral:rRNA from 1 species